rnacentral:rRNA from 1 species
GCCCAGGGCUACACACGUGCUACAAUGGGCGGUACAAAGAGCAGCGAGCUCGCGAGAGUAAGCAAAUCUCAAAAAGACCGUCCUCAGUUCGGAUUGGAGUCUGCAACUCGACUCCAUGAAGUUGGAAUCGCUAGUAAUCGCGGAUCAGCAUGCCGCGGUGAAUUACCGGUUCCCGGGCCUU